rnacentral:rRNA from 1 species
GACGAGGGAUCCUAGCGUUGUUCGGAAUCAUUGGGCGUAAAGAGGGUCUAGGUUGUUUGAUAAGUCAGAUGUGAAAGCCCUGGGCUUAACCCAGGAAGUGCAUUUGAUACUGUUGAACUUGAGUGUGGGAGAGGCUAGUAGAAUUCCAGGUGUAGUGGUGAAAUACGUAGAUAUCUGGAGGAAUACCGGUGGCGAAGGCGGCUAGCUGGCCCAACACUGACACUUCAACCCGAAAGCGUGGGGAUCAAAC